GGGGAAAAAUUUAUUGCUAUUAGAUGAGCCUAUAUUAGAUUAGCUAGUUGGUGGAGUAAUAGCCUACCAAGGCAAUGAUCUAUAGCUGAUCUGAGAGGAUGAUCAGCCACACUGGAACUGAGAUACGGUCCAGACUCCUACGGGAGGCAGCAGUGGGGAAUAUUGGACAAUGGGCGAAAGCCUGAUCCAGCCAUGCCGCAUGAGUGAAGAAGGCCUUUGGGUUGUAAAGCUCUUUUAGUGAGGAAGAUAAUGACGGUACUCACAGAAGAAGUCCUGGCUAACUCCGUGCCAGCAGCCGCGGUAAUACGGAGAGGGCUAGCGUUAUUCGGAAUUAUUGGGCGUAAAGGGCGCGUAGGCGGAUUAGUAAGUUAAAAGUGAAAUCCCAAGGCUCAACCUUGGAAUUGCUUUUAAAACUGCUAAUCUAGAGAUUGAAAGAGGAUAGAGGAAUUCCUAGUGUAGAGGUGAAAUUCGUAAAUAUUAGGAGGAACACCAGUGGCGAAGGCGUCUAUCUGGUUCAAAUCUGACGCUGAGGCGCGAAGGCGUGGGGAGCAAACAGGAUUAGAUACCCUGGUAGUCCACGCUGUAAACGAUGAAUGUUAAAUAUGGGAAGUUUUACUUUCUGUAUUACAGCUAACGCGUUAAGCAUUCCGCCUGGGGACUACGGUCGCAAGAUUAAAACUCAAAGGAAUUGACG
rnacentral:rRNA from 1 species